GACGAACGCUGGCGGCGUGCUUAACACAUGCAAGUCGAACGGAAAGGCCCUGCUUUUGUGGGGUGCUCGAGUGGCGAACGGGUGAGUAACACGUGAGUAACCUGCCCUUGACUUUGGGAUAACUUCAGGAAACUGGGGCUAAUACCGGAUAGGAGCUCCUGCUGCAUGGUGGGGGUUGGAAAGUUUCGGCGGUUGGGGAUGGACUCGCGGCUUAUCAGCUUGUUGGUGGGGUAGUGGCUUACCAAGGCUUUGACGGGUAGCCGGCCUGAGAGGGUGACCGGCCACAUUGGGCCUGAGGUACGGCCCAGACUCCUACGGGAGGCAGCAGUGGGGAAUAUUGCACAAGGGGGGGAAGCCUGAUGCAGCAGCGCCGCGUGCGGGAUGACGGCCUUCGGGUGGUAAACCGCUUUCGCCUGUGACGAAGCGUGAGUGACGGUAAUGGGUAAAGAAGCACCGGCUAACUACGUG
rnacentral:rRNA from 1 species